GGGAUGUUCAUAACCCUUUGUUGUCCGACUCUGUUGCCUCCGGGGCGACCCUGCCUUCGGGCGGGGGCUCCGGGUGGACACUUCAAACUCUUGCGUAACUUUGCAGUCUGAGUAAACUUAAUUAAUAAAUUAAAACUUUUAACAACGGAUCUCUUGGUUCUGGCAUCGAUGAAGAACGCAGCGAAAUGCGAUAAGUAAUGUGAAUUGCAGAAUUCAGUGAAUCAUCGAAUCUUUGAACGCACAUUGCGCCCCCUGGUAUUCCGGGGGGCAUGCCUGUUCGAGCGUCAUUUCACCACUCAAGCCUCGCUUGGUAUUGGGCAUCGCGGUCCGCCGCGUGCCUCAAAUCGACCGGCUGGGUCUUCUGUCCCCUAAGCGUUGUGGAAACUAUUCGCUAAAGGGUGUUCGGGAGGCUACGCCGUAAAACAACCCCAUUUCUAAGGUUGACCUCGGAUCAGGUAGGGAUACCCGCUGAACUUAAGCAUAUCAAUA
rnacentral:rRNA from 1 species